UACAGAGGUCUCAAGCGAUGUUCGGAUUCAUUGGGCGUAAAGGGUGCGUAGGUGGCGCCGUAAGUCGGGUGUGAAAUUUCGGAGCUUAACUCCGAAACUGCAUUCGAUACUGCGGUGCUUGAGGACUGGAGAGGAGACUGGAAUUCAUGGUGUAGCAGUGAAAUGCGUAGAUAUCGUAAGGAAGACCAGUGGCGAAGGCGAGUCUCUGGACAGUUACCGACGCUGAGGCACGAAGGUCAGGGGAGCAAACGGG
rnacentral:rRNA from 1 species